rnacentral:rRNA from 1 species
AACGAACGUUGGCGGCGUGGAUUAGGCAUGCAAGUCGAACGAAUCCCUGAGGGCUUGCUCUCAGGGGAAGUGGCGAAAGGGGCAGUAAGGCGUGGGUAACCUACCCUGGGACGGGGAUAGCCUUCCUAACGGAAGGGUAAUACCUGGCGAUUCGGCGAGGGACAUCCUCUGGCCGGGAAAUGAACUUCGCCUCGGGAGGGGCUCACGUGAUAUUAGCUUGUUGGUGAGGUAACGGCUCACCAAGGCCGAGAUGUCUAGCGGGUGUGAGAGCACGACCCGCGCACUGGCACUGAGACACUGGCCAGACACCUACGGGUGCUGCAGGUCGA